rnacentral:rRNA from 1 species
ACGUACUGUGCGAACGUUAUUCGGAAUCACUGGGCUUAAAGGGUACGUAGGCGGUUAAGAAAGUCAGAUGUGAAAUGCCUGAGCUCAACUGAGGCACUGCGUUUGAAACUUCUUAGCUAGAGUAUCCCAGGGGUGUGCGGAACUUAUGGUGGAGCGGUGAAAUGCGUUGAUAUCAUGAGGAACACCGGAGGCGAAGGCGGCACACUGGGGGAUUACUGACGCUGAGGUACGAAAGCUAGGGUAGCGAACGGG